GACGUAGGGCGCGAGCGUUGUCCGGAUUUAUUGGGCGUAAAGAGCUCGUAGGCGGCUUGUCGCGUCGACCGUGAAAACUUGGGGCUCAACCCCAAGCCUGCGGUCGAUACGGGCAGGCUAGAGUUCGGUAGGGGAGACUGGAAUUCCUGGUGUAGCGGUGAAAUGCGUAGAUAUCUGGAGGAACACCGGUGGCGAAGGCGGCAUCCUGGACCAAUACUGACACUGAGGAGCGAAAGCCAGGGGAGCAAACGGG
rnacentral:rRNA from 1 species